rnacentral:piRNA from 1 species
UCAGUGUCAUGGAACGAAGAAGUAGCCUCUU